UAGCUCAGUUGGUAGAGCAUGGUGCUUGCAACGCCAGGAUAGUGGGUUCCACCCAU
rnacentral:tRNA from 1 species